AUUGAGCCAAGUUUUAAAUGAGUACACACGAACGUGUGUUCUACGGAGCAUAUUAGGUUUUCACCCGAUUUCUUUGUGCAUAAAUUUUUUUUUCAAAUUCUGGAUUGCUUCUCCACUUCUCUUUGUCUUCCUCAAAUUCCUUCUAUCUGCAGGUACAAUUUUAAUCAAUUUUUUCCAUGAUUUUUGCUGUGCAUAUGAUAAAUUAAACAAUCCCUUAAUCUUCAACUUCAAUUUUGUAGUUUGUAUUUGUUUCUCCUUUUUCUGCUUUUCCAAUUAGUUUCAUCCGACAUGCGAAUUUUUUUGUUGAGAUCAAUCAUGAUACUGGUAUGGGUAUCAUGCCUAAUUAAAAGGAAGAAAAUUUUGGGUAUAGUGUUGCAGUGCUUACUCAAGUUUCAUGGGUUCUGUUCAUACUUCUUUUCUACCCUCUUCCACUUUAAUUUUGUAGUUUUGUAUUUGUUUCUCCUUCUUUUGCUCAUUCGAUUAGUUUCAGUCCACAUAAAUUUUUUUUGGUUGAGAUCAAUAGCUUCUAAACCUAAUUUAAAAGGAAUUUUUUUUGGGUAUAAGUGCUUACUCAAAUUUCACGGUUUUUUUUUAAUCUUUAUUUCCUUCCGUGCUUUUUCUAGAUUCUCCAUACCUUCUAAAUUUUGCAAUGUCAUGGCUGAUUUUCCUCAUCGUUUUUUCCCUUCUUCUAAUUUUGCCCUAUCUUCUUUUGGGCUCUGUGAUGAAGUUUAAUUUUGCAACUCCAUGGUUGGUGUGUGUUAAAUCGAGCGAUAAAAUGUAUUUUUAAAUGUGACGCACGCUCAGUUUUUUAUUUUAUUUGUUUUUUUAGUUGUACGCCUUGAGACUAAACUUCUUAUGCUAGAUUUGAGAGAGGGGCCAACUAAUAAACUUGAAUUUAAGAAAAGCUAUAGUUUCGACGUGUUGGCUUAAAGUCUUUACAAUUGUAUUUGAGGAUAUUUGAGACUUUUCACAAUGCUUAAUUGAGACAUGGUUGUUAAACCUUGGAACAUGACUUUUAUCCGAAGAUGAAUAGCCACAUAUCAGAACAAGGAUACUCUUUGUUUUGAAACCUUUACGCUCUUUGCUGGUUCGAGUAAAGUUCAGGAAAUUCAUCAAAAUUCUUAAUUUCAGGGGUUCUAUGGUAUUAUUCCAUCGAUCCUAUGUCAGUAUUGUUGCUUCUUCAUUGCUUUAUUGCUCUUACAUGAUUUUUUUAAUCUCUUUCUUUUUUCUUUUAGUUGUUUGAUUAUGUUUGGAUACAAGGAAACUCAAACUGGUAGAUGCAAUCAAACCUUUUCUUUUGCUUUUGUAUUUGUGGAAUGAAAGGUAUGAAUCAUUGACGCUCAUUUUUUUCCUGAUUUUUAAUGCUUCCUUAUCAUAGUAGCUGAAUCGAAAGUGACAAUGAAAAUAAGAAGAGAAAUAAGAUUUGGGUCAGAUUGAUAUUAUCACUUCUGUAUGUUUUUUGUAUUCAAUUUCAAUUUGUGUCAGUAUUUUGGCAUCCGAUUUAUGUACUUUAUGGUUUUUUUUGACGUGUGUGCUUCGUGGUAUUUUUAAUUCAAGCCCGAGGGCAAUUUAGUCAUUUUAGUUACUUAGUUGAUAUUGGUCGUUGCGGUGGCUUUUGUUUUUGCAGCCAACACAUCUUCCUUCAUUUCUUACUCGACCGUAUCUUAUUCCUUCAUUUGUUUUGCUUCUCUUCAGUUUCUCAAAGGUAUAUUCCAAAUUCAUUUUGUUCUUGAUGCUCUUUAAAUCUGAUCUGAAACUUGGGGUUAGAUAGUAAGGCAUGAGGAAGAAGAGUGCAAGGCAGGAAGGAGAGACUAUUUAGAGCUCAUCGCCGGAACCAAAGAUAAACUUUCUCUCUUUCCAUCUCAAGUGUUUGCUUUCCUCUAUAUUUAGUCAGGACUAUGCAGCAUGCUUAUUUGGUUUUCUGAUUGUGGAAUGUAUGUAUCUCUGUUGAUUAUGGUUGGAAUCUUUUGGUUGACAGUCAGUUAAUUUCAUCUAAAAUAACAGGUCAGUAUAUUUUAAAUAUCCAAAUUCUCAUUAAUUCGAUGUAGCUUCAUAAUCUUCAGAGAAUAGAGGAUGGAUUCUGUACUUAGAUUUGGUUGCGAUUUCUAAAUGUAGAUGAUAUCCUCAGUAUUAGAUUUGGGUAUGGUGUUUUUUUUUAUUUUCUCUCGCGUAUGCUGGCUUCAUAGCUGUAAGUAACAAGAAUUAAAGUUCACAGAACUUUUUACACAACCUUUGAUUGUUUGACUAUUUGUAUAAAAUAGCUGUUCUCUACUUGAAUAUUGGUGUUAAUAAAAAGAAAACUUAGACGUGUGGCAAAUGCAUGUUUUUAAAGUCAUGUCGUUGAUUCGUCGCUUAUGUGUCUAUAUACUUGCAGUUUAAAGACGUCCUCUGAUUUUAUUGAUAAAGUAUAGAUGUCCUCUGAUUUAUAUAUUCAGUGUUUGUUUUUUCAGUCUCCUAAUGGGUACAUAUCAAAGAUCAUAAAGAGUUUUCCGUUCUUAUGAGUAAGUUUUCAUAUUUUUUACUCCUAUGAAUUAUCGUGACAUUGAUCUUCAAAGACAUACAAUAACCUCUCUUCAUUGCUACUUUGUUUCUACUAUUUUAUGCCUCUAUUACAUUCAUUUCAUCCAUAUGAUCAUGGUGGUUAGAAUUCUAUACAAUAAUAAUAAAAAGUUUCAAUGUGGAAUAGCCUCUUAUUCUCUACUGCCUUAUGGGAAAAUUUGAAAAGUAAAAAAGAACUAUUGUUUGGAGGUGAAAAAAAAAGCUGAAAAUAGUCAUGUUUCUAAUGUUUCUUUAAGUUAUCUAAUUUCCAUGAUUCAUCAAUCAUAUCAUAAAGUAGUCAUGCUUCCUACAAGCUUUUCUUUCCUUCUAUCACUUCUUUUUACCUUUUUGGUAUAACUUUUCAUAUAGGAAAAAUGACACACCAUGCAAAUCGUUUGAAAAUCUUAUUUUAAAUGAUACUACUAAACAAUAAAGAAAUAUUUGGUUCAAGUUGGUUGCUAUCUGUCCAACUUUUUAGUACUAAAGAUGAAAUAUUGGCCCUUUCAGCAUUAAAAGAGAAAGGUUUGUACCCAGCAAGUGCGUGAACUUUUUAGGAGCUUAGAGAGGAUAGCUUUUUUUGUUGUUGGUAUAACUAGCUUUAAACUGCACGUUCAUUGCAUUUUUUCUGCAAAUUCAUGAAUACAUAUGAUACAGAUGCUUUGUUAUUCUAAAACUUGGGACUUUUGUUUUUUGUUUGGUUAAAUUUAUUUGUUUUCGUGAAAGAGGUAGGUGCUGGAUUCAUUUAGAAUGGUUACAAUAAAAAAAUUAUAUCUACGAUCAAAAUAUUAUAUGAUUCUAUAACUUAGUGAAAACAUAGUGGACAUGUAAGAACAGGGAAUUCUACAUUAUAUUCCAUCAUUAUAAACUUACACAUAUGUGAUUGCUUCGUAGUGUGAGACCAAAGGAGAUGAGAUAAAUUUGGCAUAAAUAAGUCAAUUAUUUUCUUUGGCAAGUAUUAUUGAAAAUGAAGUCCAAAAGUCAACACCAUCAUUGUUCGCAUUAUUAAGUUCCUUACUUAAAUUCUUAUUAUUCUUGUAAGUUUUGUUCUUUGAAGAUUUUUAUAGUUUUGGUAAUCAUAUUUGGUGUUCAUAUGUGCAAGUGUGACUUAUCACCUACUUGAAAAGUUAGAUUACAUGAAAAUUAAUGAAUGUGGAACGCAUUUUCCUUUUGUUCUUCUUUUUUCACAUUUCACUUCUAAAAUUCCUUUGAAGAUUGCGUGACAGUUGAAUGCCUGGAGGUCAUGAGUAUUAUCUCAUUUAACUUGCUUUGGAGUAAAUACAUGCCAACACCAAUAAAUUCUUGAUUCCUCGAAGAGUAGUGAUCGUUUUACUCAUUUUCGAUAUGCUCUAUUCAUAAAUCUACAAUGGUAUUCUCUGGUUCGAAUAUAUAUUAGCAACACGUCUUUUUUUUUUCCCUUGUAAAAGGUUCAUGCUGAAUUUUUUUUCCGGUGGCUUGUCAUUUUUGUGGUACUUUAAAACCUGAAAAGAUGAGCAUUUCUGGCAACUUGUGUCAUUUUUGGUCCUCAUCAAGCAAGUGAUAUUAAGGAGCUAACAAUAAUGGAUCGUGGAGUGUACAUCUAUUCAAAAAAUAUUGUUAGCCCUGCUAUAUUCUAUCCUACUAUCUGGUAUAUCUAAAGGGGAUAUUAUAACAAGGUACGAUAUAACAUGUUUGCGAAACCGUUGAAUAUUAGCUGAAAUAUCUUGAAUUUCUGAGAAGACACAAGUAUCAUACAUGCUCCGUCUUUUGUCAAAGUACCUCUUACUGCUUAUGCGCUGGUGAGGUAUAUUUUUGUAAUUCUUUCUUUUUCCCUAGAAAUGUAUUCAUACACCCUUGUUCGACAGUAUGUUGAUUGACUAUUUAAUAUACAGAGGAAAUUCAGACCUAUGUAAAAGUGACGCCAAGGUGGUGGAAUGAAUUGUUGUCUUAGUGGAGGUUAGAAAUACAAGUCUGCAUUCAUCUGUGCUAGUGUCUCUGCCUGUGAGACAAUUCUGUUGAAGGGCAAUACCAUGCACAUUUAAGAAAUGAAAGAAGUAAAAGUUGGGAUUGCUGUAGUGUAUUGGAAUCUUGACGGUCACGGUCAUGGACUUAUUCUCAAGGAUAUCCAUGUAGAGAAUUUCAGUAUAUAUAAUUGGUGGUCAUGUCUUUAUUGUCGAUGGUUCAUCAAACUUCCCUUUUUGAAGACAUUAUGGAAAAGAAAAACUUCAAGUACUCCAUUGGAGUAGAGAUCACUAUGAUGAAACUUGGAUAAAAUGAAUCAAUUUUGUAAAAUAGUAUGUGCCUCAAUUUGGAGGAAUCUGGGGCUUGCAAGGACAAGAAAUCUUCUUGCUCUCAUGUCGAGGUUGUUACUAUCCUUCUAUUGCUGCUGGUGUUAAGACAUUUUGAUGCAGAUAUCAUUGGGGAGGAGUCCAUUAAAGGAUGCAGAUUUAAUAGUGAAAGAAACAGUGUGAUCGGGCGCCGCACGGGCACAUGCCAACUAUGAGUAGAAGUCGAAAAAUUUCUACCCUGAGCACAUACAUGCAGACGAGGAGAUAUAAUGCUGUCUUGAAGGAGUGGAUAUCUUGAUGUAAGAGACGAGGAUGAUCGCUAAAUUUGUAUCUUGGAUUAAAGUUGGUGAUCUGAUUGUCUUACCUAUUAGAAUUACCAUAAGUUCACCCUCGACAACAGGAUCUAUGUCAAGGUGUGCAAAAAUUUAAGUUUCUCUUUUAUUAAGCAUAGAAUAAAAGUGUUGUGUUCUCAGGUUUUAAAUUCCAGCUUCUUUCGUCUCGCUGUUGACUGCCUAA